GAAGCAGGCCAAGACAACCGCUGGCUGUCAUUUCGGUGAUGGCGGGAGGAAGGUCCGGACUCCAUAGAGCAGGGUGACGGUUAACGGCCGUCCGCCGCGAGGCGAGGAAUAGGGCCACAGAGACGAGCGUAUUAAGUUACGGUGAAACGCGGUAACCUCCACCUGGAGCAAUUUCAAAUAGGCACGCGUUGACGUUGCUCGCGGAGCGUGCGGGUAGAAAGCUUGAGCCGUGGAGUAAUUCACGGCCUAGAGGAAUGGUUGUCAUAGCAAAUGGGCUUGCUCAUUUGCCGUAACAGAAUCCGGCCUAUCGGCUUGCUUCAACU
rnacentral:RNase_P_RNA from 1 species